GCAGCUUCCGGGAAGGAGGAGCCCCGCUCUAGGUCGAGGGGGUCAACCUCGAGGCGGAAGUCAGGAGCACGUUCACAGCCGAAGGGCUCCAGACCGGGUGUGCCAUAUUCACGCUUAAGAAAGAGCACAGUACACGCUGUGGAGACCCAUCUCCAGAGUAGCAAGCAUGAACAUAAGUGUGCAAGGAAAGGAGAACAUUGCUCAGGUUAGACGAAGGCUCCACGAGAAGAGACACAGCAAGAGAAGGAACACAGGCAGGGG